rnacentral:rRNA from 1 species
AGUGAACGCUGGCGGUAGGCCUAACACAUGCAAGUCGAACGGCAGCACAGUAAGAGCUUGCUCUUACGGGUGGCGAGUGGCGGACGGGUGAGGAAUACAUCGGAAUCUACUUUUUCGUGGGGGAUAACGUAGGGAAACUUACGCUAAUACCGCAUACGACCUACGGGUGAAAGCAGGGGUUCUUCGGACCUUGCGCGAUUGAAUGAGCCGAUGUCGGAUUAGCUAGUUGGCGGGGUAAAGGCCCACCAAGGCGACGAUCCGUAGCUGGUCUGAGAGGAUGAUCAGCCACACUGGAACUGAGACACGGUCCAGACUCCUACGGGAGGCAGCAGUGGGGAAUAUUGGACAAUGGGCGCAAGCCUGAUCCAGCCAUACCGCGUGGGCGAAGAAGGCCUUCGGGUUGUAAAGCCCUUUUGUUGGGAAAGAAAAGCAGCAGGUUAAUACCCCGCUGUUCUGACGGUACCCAAAGAAUAAGCACCGGCUAACUUCGUG